rnacentral:rRNA from 1 species
UGGGGAAUAUUGCACAAUGGGGGAAACCCUGAUGCAGCGACGCCGCGUGAGCGAAGAAGUAUUUCGGUAUGUAAAGCUCUAUCAGCAGGGAAGAUAAUGACGGUACCUGACUAAGAAGCCCCGGCUAACUACGUGCCAA